GGUGGAUGUAGUUCAGUCGGUUAGAGCGUCAGAUUGUGGUUCUGAAUGUCGUGGGUUCGAGUCCCACCCUCCACCC
rnacentral:tRNA from 1 species